rnacentral:rRNA from 1 species
UACGUAGGGGGCAAGCGUUGUUCGGAUUCAUUGGGCGUAAAGGGUGCGUAGGCGGCGCGGUAAGUCACUUGUGAAAUCUCUGAGCUUAACUCAGAACGGCCAAGUGAUACUGCAGUGCUAGAGUGUGGAAGGGGCAAUCGGAAUUCUUGGUGCAGCGGUGAAAUGCGCAGAUAUCAGGAAGAACACCUAUGGCGAAGGCAGCUCUCUGGGACGGUACUGACGCUGAGACGCGAAAGCGUGGGGAGCGAACAGG